GAUGAAGAACGUAGCGAAAUGCGAUAAGUAAUGCGAAUUGCAGAAUUUCCGUGAGUCAUCGAAUCUUUGAACGCACAUUGCGCCCGGUAGUAAUCUGCCGGGCAUGCCUGUCCGAGCGUCAUUUCAACCCUCGAACCACUAUUCGCGUAGCUGGAUCGGUGUUGGGGCACUACGGUGGAAUACCCGUAGGCCCCGAAAUGAAGUGGCGGUCCCGCCGCGGCGCCCCCAUGCGUAGUAACAUCUCGUCUCGCAUCGGGUCCCGGCGGAGGCCUGCCGUCAAGCCUAUUUUCUAAUUACAGAUGGUUUGAACUCGGAUCAGGUAGGGUUACCCGCUGAACUUAAGCAUAUCAAUAAGCGGAGGA
rnacentral:misc_RNA from 1 species